rnacentral:rRNA from 1 species
UACGUAGGUGGCAAGCGUUGUCCGGAAUUAUUGGGCGUAAAGCGCGCGCAGGCGGUCCUUUAAGUCUGAUGUGAAAGCCCAGGGCUCAACCCUGGACGUGCAUACGAUACUAGGUGGCUGGAGUCUCGGAGAGGAUAGCGGAAUUCCGGUGUAGAGGUGAAAUUCGUAGAUAUCGGAGGAACACCAGUGGCGAAGGCGGACUAUCGUGGCCGGAACUGACGCUGAGGAGCGAAAGCGGUGGGUAGCAAACAGGA